CCUACGGGAGGCAGCAGUAGGGAAUUUUCCGCAAUGGGCGAAAGCCUGACGGAGCAAUACCGCGUGAGGGAUGACUGCCUAUGGGUUGUAAACCUCUUUUUUCAGGGAGGAAUAAAUGACGUGUACCUGAAGAAUAAGCAUCGGCUAACUCCGUGCCAGCAGCCGCGGUAAGACGGAGGAUGCAAGUGUUAUCCGGAAUCACUGGGCGUAAAGCGUCUGUAGGUGGCUCGACAAGUCAACUGUUAAAUCUUGAAGCUCAACUUCAAAAUCGCAGUCGAAACUAUCGGACUAGAGUAUAGUAGAGGUAAAGGGAAUUUCCAGUGGAGCGGUGAAAUGCGUAGAGAUUGGAAAGAACACCGAUGGCGAAGGCACUUUACUGGGCUAUUACUGACACUCAGAGACGAAAGCUAGGGUAGCAAAUGGGAUUAGAUACCCCAGUAGUCCUAGCCGUAAACAAUGGAUACUAGGUGUUGAACAGAUCGACCUGUGCAGUACCAAAGCUAACGCGUUAAGUAUCCCGCCUGGGAAGUAUGCACGCAAGUGUGAAACUCAAAGGAAUUGACGG
rnacentral:rRNA from 1 species